UACGAAGGGGGCUAGCGUUGCUCGGAAUUACUGGGCGUAAAGCGUGCGCAGGCGGUUCGUUGUGUCGGUGGUGAAAGCCCCGGGCUUAACCUGGGAAUGGCCAUGGAAACUGGCGAACUGGAGUGUGGCAGAGGGGGGUGGAAUUCCGCGUGUAGCAGUGAAAUGCGUAGAGAUGCGGAGGAACACCGAUGGCGAAGGCAGCCCCCUGGGCUAGCACUGACGCUCAGGCACGAAAGCGUGGGGAGCAAACAGG
rnacentral:rRNA from 1 species